rnacentral:rRNA from 1 species
GCCCAAAACACCUAGCCUCGCCACACCCAUAAGGGUUCUCAGCAGUGAUCAACAUUAAAAAUAAACGUAAGUUUGAUUUAGCCAAAUUAAUACAGAGCCGGCCAAUCUGGUGCCAGCCGCCGCGGUCACACCAUGUGGCUCAAAUUGAUUCUAGCACGGCGUAAAGUGUGAUUAAAGAAAUACCCUCUGGGGUCAAAAUUAAAUUAAGCUGUCGCACGAUUAUUCUUAAGAAGUCCAAUCUCGAAAGAUACCCCAACUCAUCAACUUGAAUUCACAACAACUAGGGUACAAACUGGGAUUAGAUACCCCACUAUGCCUAGUCGUAAACUUUUAUUUACAUUAUAUCGCCAGGGAACUACGAGCAAAGCUUAAAACCCAAAGGACUUGACGGUACCCCAUAUCCUUCUAGAGGAGCCUGUCCUAUAAUCGAUACUCCACGUUUAACCUCACCAUUCUUAGCUAAUCAGUCUGUAUACUUCCGUCGUCAGCUUACCGCGUGAGCGAACAGUAAGCUCAAUGUCACUCAUCAAUACGUCAGGUCAAAGUGCAGCACAUAAAAUGGGAAGAGAUGGGCUACACUUUCUACCUUAGAAAAUACGAAAGAUUAUGUGAAACCAUACUCAGAAGGUGGAUUUAAUAGUAAGAGGAGCUAGAAUACCCCUCCUAACUUGGCACUGGGGGUGUGUACACACCGCCCGUCACCCUCUU